rnacentral:rRNA from 1 species
GAUGAACGCUGGCGGCGUGCUUAACACAUGCAAGUCGAGCGAGAGAGUUCUUCGGAACAAUCUAGCGGCGGACGGGUGAGUAACACGUGGGCAACCUGCCUCAUAGAGGGGAAUAGCCUUCCGAAAGGAAGAUUAAUACCGCAUAACAUCGUUGAAGGGCAUCCUUCGAUGAUCAAAGGAGCAAUCCGCUAUGAGAUGGGCCCGCGGCGCAUUAGCUAGUUGGUAAGGUAACGGCUCACCAAGGCGACGAUGCGUAGCCGACCUGAGAGGGUGAUCGGCCACAUUGGGACUGAGACACGGCCCAGACUCCUACGGGAGGCAGCAGUGGGGAAUAUUGCACAAUGGGGGAAACCCUGAUGCAGCAACGCCGCGUGAGUGAUGACGGCCUUCGGGUUGUAAAGCUCUGUCUUUGGGGACGAUAAUGACGGUACCCAAGGAGGAAGUCACGGCUAACUACGUGCCAGCCGCCGCCGUAA